rnacentral:tRNA from 1 species
GCUCCCUUCGUCUAGCGGUUAGGACGCCGGCCUCUCACGCCGGUAACAGGGGUUCUGAACCCCCUAGGGAGCGCCA